rnacentral:rRNA from 1 species
CAGGACGAACGCUGGCGGCGUGCCUAAUACAUGCAAGUCGAACGCACUGACGUCGACAGAAGGUGCUUGCACUGGAAGUUGAUUGACGUGAGUGGCGGACGGGUGAGUAACACGUGGGUAACCUGCCCUUAAGCGGGGGAUAACAUUUGGAAACAGAUGCUAAUACCGCAUAAAAGUUGAGAUCACAUGGUCUUAAUUUGAAAGACGGCCCUUUGGCUGUCACUUAAGGGAUGGACCCGCGGCGUAUUAACUAGUUGGUGAGAUAAUAGCCCACCAAGGCGAUGAUAGGUAGCCGACCUGAGAGGGUAAUUCGGCCACAUGGGGACUGAAACACGGCCCAAACUCCCUACGGGAGGCAGUAGUAGGGAAUCUUCCACAAUGGACGAAAGUCUGAUGGAGCAACGCCGCGUGAGUGAAGAAGGUUUUCGGAUCGUAAAACUCUGUUGUUGGAGAAGAACAGGGACUAGAGUAACUGUUAGUCCUUUGACGGUAUCCAACCAGAAAGCCACGGCUAACUACGUGCCAGCAGCCGCGGUAAUACGUAGGUGGCAAGCGUUGUCCGGAUUUAUUGGGCGUAAAGCGAGCGCAGGCGGUUUCUUAAGUCUGAUGUGAAAGCCUUCGGCUUAACCGAAGAAGUGCAUCAGAUACUGGGAAACUUGAGUGCAGAAGAGGAAAGUGGAACUCCAUGUGUAGCGGUGAAAUGCGUAGAUAUAUGGAAGAACACCAGUGGCGAAGGCGGCUUUCUGGUCUGUAACUGACGCUGAGGCUCGAAAGUAUGGGGAGCGAACAGGAUUAGAUACCCUGGUAGUCCAUACCGUAAACGAUGAAUGCUAAGUGUUGGAGGGUUUCCGCCCUUCAGUGCUGCAGCUAACGCAUUAAGCAUUCCGCCUGGGGAGUACGACCGCAAGGUUGAAACUCAAAGGAAUUGACGGGGGCCCGCACAAGCGGUGGAGCAUGUGGUUUAAUUCGAAGCUACGCGAAGAACCUUACCAGGUCUUGACAUCUAGCGCCAAUCCUAGAGAUAGGACGUUCCCUUCGGGGACGCUAAGACAGGUGGUGCAUGGUUGUCGUCAGCUCGUGUCGUGAGAUGUUGGGUUAAGUCCCGCAACGAGCGCAACCCUUAUGAUUAGUUGCCAGCAUUUAGUUGGGCACUCUAAUCAGACUGCCGGUGACAAAC